CAAAACAUAAAGAGUUAGGCGGUUUGAUCUCUUUCCAUGGACAUCAGGGUGAAAACUCGGGUGGGAUCAGUGCCUCAAUUCGGAGCAUGGGACGAUGGAAAGAGUGAAACCAACUUCUCCGACCUGUUCAUGAAAGCUCGCGAGAGAAGGAAGCAUAAACACUUAACCACCCGCCAUAGCUUCAAUAAGACCCCUCUCAUGCCCGUGCAACGAGCGAAAGGAAUGGAGAAAAAGAAGAAGAAGAAGAGGAGGAGGAGUGUUAGUUGGUUUUGUUGUUUAUUUUGGUCUUGAAUUCCAAAUUUUGUUGGUUAUAAUAUAGUCAAUACUCGAUAGUGAUUGAGCAAAUAUUGUAACCGAGUUUCUUCCUCCCAUUUUUCAAAUAGAGCGCCAUGAUUUUUGACUUA